GGACAAGAAUAAUCUCGGGAAACUGGGCAUAAUUCUUGAUAGAUCAUAAUGCCUGGAAUGGUUUAUGGUUAAAAUGAUUCGUCGCCAUAGGAUGGGACUGCGGCCUAUCAGCUUGUUGGUGAGGUAAUGGCCCACCAAGGCGAUUACAGGUACGGGCUCUGAGAGGAGAAGCCCGGAGAUGGGUACUGAGACACGGACCCAGGCCCUAUGGGGCGCAGCAGGCGAGAAAACUUUGCAAUGUGCGAAAGCACGACAAGGUUAAUCCGAGUGAUUUCUGCUAAAGAAAUCUUUUGCCAGUCAUAAAACCACUGGUGAAUAAGGGGUGGGCAAGUUCUGGUGUCAGCCGCCGCGGUAAAACCAGCACCUCAAGUGGUCAGGAUGAUUAUUGGGCCUAAAGCAUCCGUAGCCGGCUUUGUAAGUUUUCGGUUAAAUCCAUGUGCUCAACGCAUGGGCUGCCGAAAAUACUGCAUGGCUAGGGAGUGGGAGAGGUAGACGGUACUCAGUAGGAAGGGGUAAAAUCCUUUGAUCUAUUGAUGACCACCUGUGGCGAAGGCGGUCUACCAGAACACGUUCGACGGUGAGGGAUGAAAGCUGGGGGAGCAAACCGGAUUAGAUACCCGGGUAGUCCCAGCUGUAAACGAUGCAGACUCGAUGAUGCAUUGGCAUAAUAGCCAGUGCAGUGUCGCAGGGAAGCCGUUAAGUCUGCCGCCUGGGAAGUACGUACGCAAGUAUGAAACUUAAAGGAAUUGGCGGGGGAGCACCACAAGGGGUGAAGCCUGCGGUUCAA
rnacentral:rRNA from 1 species